rnacentral:tRNA from 1 species
GGCCUAGUAGCUCAGAUGGUAAGAGCGUUGGCUGUACCCAACUGUUACUCUUGCUUUCAUAGUUUCGAAUCCCAUCGAGGCCG